rnacentral:rRNA from 1 species
AGAGUUUGAUCCUGGCUCAGAACGAACGUUAGCGGCGCGCCUAACACAUGCAAGUCGUGCGAGAAAGGGCUUCGGCCCCAGUAAAGCGGCGCACGGGUGAGUAACACGUAGGUCAUCUCCCCUCGAGUGGUGGAUAACUCUCCGAAAGGAGAGCUAAUACAGCAUGAGACCACAGCCUCGCUGAGGCAGCGGUCAAAGCAGGCCACUACAUGUAAGCUUGCGCUUGAGGAUGAGCCUGCGGCCCAUCAGCUAGUUGGUAGGGUAAAGGCCUACCAAGGCUAAGACGGGUAGCUGGUCUGAGAGGAUGAACAGCCACACUGGAACUGAGACACGGUCCAGACUCCUACGGGAGGCAGCAGUGGGGAAUCUUGCGCAAUGGGCGAAAGCCUGACGCAGCGACGCCGCGUGAGCGAUGAAGGCCCUCGGGUUGUAAAGCUCUGUGGGGAGGGAAGAAUAAGGUUUGGCUAAUAUCCAAGCCGAUGACGGUACCUCCUUAGCAA